rnacentral:misc_RNA from 1 species
GGUCAAGGGUCACAGUUAG